CCUACGGGAGGCAGCAGUGAGGAAUAUUGGUCAAUGGGCGCGAGCCUGAACCAGCCAAGUCGCGUGAGGGAAGACGGUCCGAUGGAGGGUAAACCUCUUUGGUCGGGGAGCAAAAGACGCCACGCGUGGCGUUCCGAGAGUACCCGAAGAAAAAGCAUCGGCUAACUCCGUGCCAGCAGCCGCGGUAAUACGGCGGAUGCGAGCGUUAUCCGGAUUUAUUGGGGUUAAAGGGUGCGCAGGCGGAAGAUCAAGUCAGCGGUAAAAUUGAGCGGCUCAACCUCUUCGAGCCGUUUAAACUGGGUUUCUUGAUUGAGCGAGCAGUAUGCGGAAUGCGUGUUGUAGCGG
rnacentral:rRNA from 1 species